UGCCUGCUCGGGCCGUCGGCCAGCUGGGGCAGACCCCGCUGCCCACUUUAUUCCUUUAUUGGAAACUAAUGCGUGCUUUUGUUAAGAAAAUAAGCUUAGGUAAAACUAGGUGAAAGAUGGCCAUUAAUCCUACUACACUGAGAUAACUGCUAUUAAUUUUGGUUGUCCUUUCAGACUUUUCUAUGCACAGAAACAAACAUGUAUAGUGACAGGAAAGGGGUCCUGCUAUUAUACUGUUUGUUUUUAAGUUAAUAGACUUUAGUUUUUAGGUCGGCUUUAGCUUUACAGAAAAUCGAGGAGAUAGUGCAGAGUUCCUGUAUACCCCUGUCCCCACCCUCUUUGUUCUCCCUAUUAGCAUUUUGAGUAAGUGUGGUACAUUUGUUAUAAUUAAUGAACCAAUAUUGAUACAUUAUUAUUAACUAAAGUCCAUAGUUCAAUCAAGGUUCACUCUGUGCCGUAAAGUUCAAAGUUUUGAUAAGCGGAGGACCUCACGCGUCCACCGUGACAGUAGCACACAGAACAGUUUCCCUACCCUGCACUCCUGUGCUCCAUGUGUUCAUCCUGCCCCCUCCGCCCCAGUGCAACCACUGAUGUCUUUACUGUCUCUCUAGUUUUGCCUUUUCCAGAAUGUUGUAUGGUUGCGGGUCAUACAGUAUGAGCAUUUUUAGCCUGGCUUCUUUCACUAAACAAUAUCCUUUUAAGGUUCCUCCUUUUACGGUCCCUCCAUGUUUUCUCAUGGAUUAAAAGCUCAUUUCUUUUUAUCGCUGAAUAAUAUUCUAUCGAAUGAACCUACCACAGUUUAUCCAUUCACCUUUGGAAGGAUGUCUUGGUUACCUCCAGUUUUUGUCAGUUAGGAACAAGCUGCUAUAAACAUUCAUGUACGGGUUUAUUAUACUGUUUUCUAGCUUUUUUUUUUUUUUUUUUUUUUGGCAGGGAAAGAUUCACCAAUCUUUCUCUUUUUUGUUUUUUUCUCCCCAAAGCCACAGUGCAUGGUUGUAUAUCCUAGCUGUAAGUCCUUCUAGUACUUCUGUGUGAGCUCCCACCACAGCAUGGCUACUGUCAGACCCUCAGGAACCGAACUGGGAGGCAGAAGUGGUGAGAGCACCCCACCUCAACCACUACGCCGUCAGGGCUGGCUCUAGCUCACUUUUUUCAAUUAUGUUAUGAAUGGUUUUCUGUGUUAUAAAUAUAGAUCUUUAUCAUCUUUUUAAUGGCUACAUAAGAUUCUAUCACAGUUUAUUUAACCAGCCCCUUCUGUUAACAUAUUGAUUGUUGUCUCUGAUUCUAACGUCACAAACCUGCCGCUACUAGUUGGUCAACGCUUGAUGGUAUCUUGUAGUUAACGCCUGGCUGCCUGAAUCCUGUGUUUAAUUCCCAGCCACCUCACUUACUUACUGGGUAACCCUGGGCAAAGGUUUUAAUUCCCUAUGACUUGGUUCCUCAUCUGUGAAAUGGAAAUAAUAAUUAUACUUAAUAUGAGGAUUAAAUGAGCUGAUGCAUGUAAAGUGUUUAGAACAGUUUAGAACCUGGCACAUAUAAACCUAAAAUAAAAUUUCCUCUUAUAAUUUAUUAUCCAUUGAGCACCUCCUGUGUGUCCUGAGCCAGGCAGGCAUUGUGGAAGUUAUCAGAGACUAAGUCAUACGUGUAAUUGUCCCCUUGAGGAGCUGGGUUCAGCUCCCGCUGGGGGGUGGGGCGGGUAACACAAAACACAGUAGCACUACCCUUCUGUGUGGUUUUCUCUGGGCCAGGCACGGGGCACCAUUCUGGAGCCUGGGAGUGGCAGGGCUGGAAUUUGAACAGAGGUCUGGUUCUAACCUCUUCACUACCCUGCCUCUUGGUACACGAAUUUCCCAUAUAAUACGAAACAAGAUGGGUCCUAAUGAAGUGGAGAUGAAGAAGUGUGAGCAUUCAGGGGACUCAGUGAUGGCUUCCAGCUGGGCAUACCAGGGAAGGCUUUAGUUAAAAUCCAUUCACUGAACACGGAAAGAUAUCUACACCAGGCACAGCCCUAAACACUAGAUGAAUAAAGAGGCAGAUAAAACCAUGGGCAGCAUAUAAUCUGGUGGGAGAUAAGGGAAACAAAGUCAAGAAGCAAAUGUCAGGUGACAGCUUGUAACAUGAGCUACAAAGGAAAUCCAGGCUGCCAUGGGAUACCAGAGCGGGUAGUGGGGGCUGCCACCUUAAAAUGGUCAGGGAGGCGCCUUGGACAAGGCGACUUUGAAACACUGAGGACUGUGGGACGAGGGACCAGCCAUUCGAGGAGUUGUGUAGAAUAUUCUAGCAGCAAGAACGAACAAAGGCCCGGAGGUAGAAGGGGGUUUUUGGUGAGUUCUACAUGCUGUCAGAAGCCAGUGUGGGAGGAGCUCGGGGAGCAAGGGGAAAAUGACUAAAGCUGAAGUUGCAGAGUACACACACACUAGUUUCUAAGAACUUUCCGACUUAACUGAAAGUGGCUGGGCAGCCUAGGAGGCAAGAACAAGAAUGUCCAUUUCGUGUGCACCUAUUACAGCCCAGGCUUCAUACGGUUCACACAGUAUUGUAUUUGACCUUUCCAAUGACUUACUUUACAGAUGUGGAAACUGAGGCUUGAGUUUUACUCCAAGUGAAAAGGGAAGCCAUUGAAGGGUUUUAAGCAAGGAAGUAGCGACGCUGGGUUGAUAUUGUCACAAGAUCCAGCUGGCAGCUCUGUGGGGCAUGGAGCGGAGGUUUGCAUAGGGGGAUCUGGGGGACCGGUUAAGAGACUGCUGCGCUCAGCUAGGUAAGAGAGAGAAUGGAGAUCUGACUAGAAUGAUGGCGGUGGAUGGAGAGAGAGUUGGAUCGACUUGAGACUGAGAGGCCAUGUUGAUGGAUUGGAUUAGUAAGGAGAGGAAGGAAGCUGAUACAUGCUAUUUUAAAUGCCUCAAACUGUUCAGGAAAGUAUAAACAAGAAACCAUUUAAAAUCCUCUGAAACCCAACUUCCCAGAGAUAACGACUGUUAAUUUUUAUUGGAACGUCCUUCCAGACGUCUUUCUGUGUCCAAAUAGAAUAAAUAAAUGGGCUCCUUCAGUUGUAAAAUACAAAGACCCGCUCAAGCUAACUUACGUAAUGUGGAUUUUGUUAUGAGGAAUCAGGGGUUAUCUCCUAGAAUUGCAAGCCAGUCAGCUUUCACGGAGACCUGGAAGCAGGGCAGGAAGCCAAGAACUCAGGUAACCCUCUCUUCUCUCCAAGGCUCAUCGUCACUUCUCUCUGUGUCCCUCUGCCUGCCUGCUCUGGUCUUCUCUCUCUUUUGGCUGACUGAUCAUGGUGUGCAUUCACCUCCCCCAUGGCUGCCCUCCCUGGCUUUGUAUCACUGUCCAAUUCAAGUAUCUGACAAGGAUGAGCUGACGUCACUUGGCCACAGAUUGCAUUUUCUGGGAGAGGAAAUGGGAUCUGGUGCCAUAAUGAUGAGAUGGUCCAUCUUUUAUAACAUGGAGAAAGGCCAUGGGCACGGAUGCAGGUUGGCUGCUGCAUUUGGUGAUGGGAAGAUGAGGUAGUUCUCCUGAUUGCUUCUUUUAUCUCAAGGAAAUGAGUGAGGUUGGCAGCUGAGAAGCUGAGAGUGGAGUGCGGAUGGGGAUGGAAGGUUUCCUAAAAGAUGAGAAGAUAUGAAAUUAUCUCUGAAAGUGGGGAUGUGAAUUUAUGAGGAUUAGUGCAAAUGGCCCACUUGAGUUUUGUGGUCAUAAAUUGAAAGAGAGAUUAGUAGGCACAAUUGUGUUUUCCUCUAGCUACAUCUAGCUGCUCAGGUGGGGGUGUGAGGUGCAGGAAAUUGGCUUUUUCCAUUUUUCAGACAAUAUGAUGAGAAAGAGAGGAACAAGGAGUGGUUAUAGUGAUGGACUGUGGAAUCUAGAGGGAUAAUGAAGAAAGUGAGGAGAUGAGUAAAGUGAUGGGCAGUGAAAACAUUGGGGAGUCUCUCUGGGGUUGAAGAAUUGAGUCAAGAUGUAAGAGUAAGAGAGCUGGAAAGAUUAGAAGGGAUGGCCAAAGAGUGGAUGCUGGAAACUGACUUUAAAGGCAGUGACUGUCGUUGAUGACAGUCUAGGGCAUAACCACGGCAGUGGGAGGAUGAGGUUGUGUGGAGGACAAGGUAGUUGGAGGUGAAGAAAUCAGGAACCAGCUUCUACCCUGGCCCCCAGGGAUUCUCGCCGGGUGGUGCUCACACCUCUUGGGCAGUCCCUCCCACGUUCAAUAGGGCGGACCUUUGUAACUAAUGACUGUGUGUGACUUCCAAGGCUAGGUUAUAAAAAACACUGUGGCUUCUGCCUUGCUCUCUCUUGGGGGAAGCCAGCCACCACAUCCUAAGGACACUCAAGGGGCCCAUAUGGUGAGGACCAACCAGCAGUAACUUGCCAGGCCGGUUUGUGAGCCACCUUGGAAGCCAGACCUCCUGCCACAGUCAGGCCUUGAGAUGACUGCAGCCGCCCCAGCAGACGAAAUGCGGCAUCACAGAGACUCAGAGCCAGAACGACUGUUCUAGGGUGCUCCUGAGUUCCUGACCCAUAGAGGCAAUGUCAGAGAAUAAACGCUUCUCGUUUUAAGUUUGGGGAUAAUUUGUUACACAACAAUAGAUAAGUAAUACAGAACCUGAAAAGCUAGGAUGUUGUGUAGGUCUUUGAUGGAUGUUGGCUGAAGUCACAAAAAAUGGCAAGGUACUGGGCCUGGCCCGGUGGCUAAGUGGUUAGUUCCACGUGCUCUGCUUUGGCAGCCUGGCUUCACGGGUUUGGAUCCCCGGUGCAGACCUACUCCAUUCACCAGCUAUACUGUAGAGGUGUGCCACAUACAAAAAAGGAGGGGGAUUGGCACAAUAUUAGCUCAGGGCAAAUCCUCCUCAGCAAACAAACAAACAAACAAAAAACCAAGGUACUAAUCGUAGAGAGUGAAGCUGAGAGCCAGGCUUUAAACUCUUCAGGGAGUGAGGCACAGCAGCCAGGAGGCUGGCAGAACCUCCAACAAGAAGAAUAGCGGCUGGUAUAGCCUAAAGACACAAAGUUGAAGGGAAGAGAGGUUUUGUAGAGAAAAGGAAGGAUAAUUAGUCUAAAAAAGGCAAAGAAGAGAAGGAGGACCCCUCCCCCACCUCUAGGUCUGUGAUACCCGGAGGCUAAGAGGAAAACCAGCUGCCACAUGAGAGGACUGCAAGAAAAGCAAUGUCCCCAAGCAGAACCAGAUUUCGGUGAGAGCAAGGAGGAGAAAUGAAUGUUGGGAGUGUUGAGUGUCUAGGGCGUAUUACCGAGGGUGCACUGUGACUUCCAGGGUCACGGUGGGAGAAUGGGGGAAGUAGGAAGAGUAGGAAAUUGGAUUAGAUUAAGGGAUGUGCGUAAGAGCCUGGGUGAGGGUAGAUGACCAUCAAUGGAUGUUGAAUUUUAUUACUUUUUUAAUUGCAAACCUAUCAUAUGAUUAUAUGAAUCUUCUCCUUUAUUCUGUUUAUAUUGUAAGUGUUAAUGAUUAAUUUCAAAUUUAUACCAACCCUGCAUUCUUGCAAUAGCACAAACUUUCAGGAUGUAUUAUCUUUUGUGGAUAUAGUUGAAUUCACUUUGCUGUUAAAAUUUUGCUUAGGAUAUUUUGCGUCUGUGUUCAUUAAUGAGAUUGACUUAUACUUUUCCUUGCUUUUAAUAUCCUUGUUAGGUUUUAGUAACAAGGUUAUGCUGGCCUCAUAAUUUGAAAUUGGAUAUGUUUCUUCUUUUCUAGUGUCUGGAAAAGUCUGUGUAAUCACGAUAUUUUUCUUCCUUAAAUGUUUAUUAGAAUUUGCCAGUGAAGCCAUUUGGGACUGGAGUUUUCUUUGUUGGAAGUUUUAAAUUGUAAAUUCAAUUUCUUUAAUAGAUAUAAUACUAUUCAGAUUUUCUAUUCCUUCUUUUGUUGGUUUUUGGAAGUUGUAGUUUUCUAGGAACUUUGUCAACUCAAAUUUUCAAUUUAUUGGAAGACAUCAGGAUGUUCAUAAUCUUAUCUUUAUAAUGUCUAUAGGAUCUGGAGCAAUGUACUUUUUUCAAUCCUGAUAUUGAUAAUUCACGCCUUCUCUCAUUUCUUCAUCAAUUUUCCUAGGGGCUUUUAUAUUUUAUUAAUGUUCUCACAGAACAGUCUUUGACUUAGAUCAUCCUUUGUAUCGUAAGUUUGUUUUUUGUUGCCUUCAUUUCUGCUGUUAUCUUUAUGGAUUCCUUUAUACUUUUUAAAGUUUAAUUUGUUAAAACAUAGAGUUACCAUGUUACCCAGGAUGUCACUUCUAAAUAUACCUAAGAGAAAUAGAAACAUAUGCCCACACAAAAACUUGUGCGUGAACAUUCACAGCAGCAUUGUUCAUAAUAGCCAACAAGUGGAAACAACCCAAGUGCCACCAACCGAUAAGUAGAAAAACAGAAUAUGGUAUAUCCAUACUCUGUUAGUCGACUGGGGCUCCCAUAACGGGAUACUGCAGACUGGGUGGCUUAAACAUCGGAGAUUUAUUGUCUCACAAUUCUGGAGGCUGGAAGUCCAAGAUCAGGGUUUGGCAGGUUGGAUUUCUCCUGAGACCUCUCACCUUGGCUUGCAGACAGACCCUUUCUCGCUGUGUCCCCACAUGGCCAUCUCUGUUCAUGUGCAUCUCUGGUGUCUCAUCCUCUUCUUAUAAGGACACCAGUUCUGUUGGAUUAGGGCCCCACCCUCAGGACCUCGUUUACCCUUAUCUGUCUCUUUAAGGGCCCCGUCUUCAAAUACAGUCUCAUUGGGUUUAGCUUCAGCAUGUGAAUGGCGCAGGGUGUGGGGGACACAAUUCCGUCCAUAACAAUAUGAUUGCUGUAUGGAAAUUCUUUGUGUGAAUAUACCAUGUUUUACUUAUCUGUACUACUGUUGAUGGACACUGGGCUAGUUUCGAAUUUGAGGUUAUUGUGAAUAGUAUUUCUAUGAACAUGCUAUGUCUUUUGGGUGAACAUUAAACAUUUCUGUUGGAUAUAUGCCUAAGAAUUCCUGGGUCCAUUAAAUAUCCUUAUUUUUGGCUUUGAAAUGAACAGACAAUUUUCCCAUAGAUCAGUUUACACUCCUACCAGCAGUUCCUGAGAGUUCUGUGUAUUGUACAUCUUUGUCAACACUUGGUAUUAUCUGACUCUUUUUUUUUUUUUCAUUUUUUAAGUCAAUUCUGGAGGUAGUCUGGGAUGUCUUGUGAUUUUAAUUUGUAUUUCCUUCAUGAAUAAUGAAGUUGAGUCCUUUUCUGUGUUUAUUGGCCAUGGGGAUAUAAUUUAUUGUGAAGUACUUGUUAAUUUUCUGUCAUUGUUAUUGAUUUAUAAAGGUUUUAAGUAUAUUCUGGCCACGUGAACACAUUCUCUGUUAUUGAAAAUAUCUUCUUACACACUGUGGUUUGCCAUCUUACUCUUUUUCAACUAGCAAAGACUUUUAUUCUUAAUAUAGUCCAAUUUAUCAUUUUUGUCCCCAUAUAGUUAGCCAAUUAUUUUGGUCCUGUUUUAAAAAUCUUUGCAUACUACAAAGUUGUGAAGAUGUUCUCUUAUGUUUCCUCCUAAAAGCUCUUUUGUUUUUCCAUUCAUAUUUAGACCUGCAGGGGAAUUAUUUUUCAUGUGUGAUGUCACAUGGGGACCAAAAUUCUUUCUUCCAUAUGGACAUCCAGUUAGCGCAGCACCAUAUAGUCAAAGAUCUUCCUUGCCCCAAUGUACUGCAGUGUUAACUUUGCUGGAAAUCAGGUGACCAAUUCUUUGAUGAAGUUCUGAGGGAAUACAAAGAGUUACCCAGCAUGUCCACGGCAGGUAGACUCUUGCCCUAAGACUGGCUUUGGAACCAUCUGAGGAGCUGCUGGAAACUGUUGCAACAUUGGUGGUGCCCUGUGAACAGAUCUCUGGUGAUCAACAAAGAGCUUCUUGGCUCACGGAUGGAAGUUCCAAGAUGAGCGGACAGCAUCUUGUUUGGAAGGCUGCCACUCUGACUGAAAAAGGCAAAAACAAAUCAAGUAUAUUGGGAAAUGGAGUUAAAAGCCUCCUAUCCUUAUCCCGCCCUGUGUCCUCCAAACGUUAGGCAUAUUCAUGUUGGACUCUUGCUGUCUAUGUUAUAUAAAUGCUACACCAAAUGGAGGUGCUCAGACAGGUUUGAUCAUUCUGUUAUAAGGGAACCAUGACCAAAGACCAGGGGGUGGCCUUUGUUUAUAAGAAAGAACUUGUCUGGUCUUUGUCCUGAGUUCCUGGAACAGAGCUUCUAGAGCUUGAAAUUUCCUGGGUGAUCAGAGUGUCUCGUAAUUCAUGAGCCCCUUGUAUUACACCUGAGUUUAUGCUCAUGAGGUGACUCAUGGUGAGCCCUUAGAUAGCUUCAGGACAGGUCCUGGUUUGAGCCAUGUGAUAUCAGCAUGACCUCCCAACCUCCAGGGAGAAGAUGGGGCCUGGAGAUUGAGUUCCAUCACAUGGCCAGCGAUUCAAUCAAGCUUGCUUAUGUAAUGGAACCCUAAGAAAAACUGGGCUACUGAAGCUCUGUGAAACCUCCUGGCUGGUGAACACACUGACGUGCCAGGAGAGUAAUAUGCCCUGAUUCCACGGGGAGAGGGCACAGAAGCUCUGUGUUUGGGAACUUCCCAAGCACAGCCCUCUAUGUCUUUUCAUUUGGCUGGUCCUUUAUAAUAAAACUACAAUCAUAAAUAUAGUGCUUUCCUGAGCUCUGUGAGUCAUUAUAAUGACAUAUUGAACCUAGGGUGUCAUGGGAACCCUUGAAUCUGUACCAGUUGGUCAAAAGUGCAGGUGGCCUGGGGACCCCCAAGGUGAGGACAGUCUUGCUGGGGACUGACCAUGCCCUUAAACCUGUGGAGUUUGACGCUAACUCCAGGAGGUUAGUAUCAGGAUUGGAUUUUAGUAAGCUAGUUGGUAUCAGGACAGAUUCCACUUUUUACCCCUAACCGCAAAAGGCUGUCAGAUACUCUGCUCAGCUUCUCAAGCACUCAACUGCUUCUUCUGGACUCAACUGAUGCCCACUGGGGAAAGGCAACACUAAAUGCCGAGCUUGCCUCUCUAGCUUUCCUUCUGAAUUUUGGCCCUAUAAUUUCUCGUUGCCCUGUUAGCUCUUCAGUCCUUCAGUCAGAUGUUUUCAUAUUCUGUCUGGAUUUUCUAUUUGUCGUCAGUGGAAAGUUUGCUCUGCAUUAUCCAGUCUACCAUUAAUGGAAACAUAAAUCCCUCUUCUCAUAGAUUUUUUUUUUUCAUUGUGGUUAAAUACACAUUGACAUAAAAUAUAUCAUUUGAACCGUUUUAAAGUGUACAAUUCAGUGACAUUUAGUAUAUUUUCAAUGUUCUACAACCGUCACUACUAUCUAGUUCCAGAAUAUUUUCGUCACCUCAAAAGGAAACCCCACAUCCAUUAAAAAGUCAUUCCCCAUUCCAUCUCCCCCAGCCCCUGGCAGCCACUAAUCUGCUUUCUGUCUCCAUGGAUUUGCCUAUUUUGGGUAUUUCAGAGAAAUGAAAUCAUGCAGUAUGUGGCCUUUUGUGUCUGGCUUCUUUCACUUAGUAUGUUUUCAAGGUCAUAGAUUUUUUUUAUGUGGUGUUUUCUUUGUUUUUUAAAUAUUCUUCAGUUACGUUUUGUUUUCCUUUUUGACUCAGGAGGCAUUUAGGAGACUGUUUUCUAAUUUUUGUUCUAUUUGUAUUAUUCAUUGUUAGUUUUGGUGCACCAUAGUCCGAGAAUAUAACUGAUUCUAUUUCCAUUUUUUUUGUUAAUAAUUUUCUUUUUGGCCUAUUGUACUAUCAAAUCUUGUAAAUAUCUCAUGGGGGCUUGAAAAUAAGAUAUAGUCUCUAUAUUCAGAAUAGACACAUAUAUUUAUUCUAUGUAUUUACCUGUCUAGCCAGCUGGUUAGCUAACUAUCAUCAAUCUUAUUAAAUAUAUUAUUCAAAAUCUCAGAAUCAUAACUUAUUUUUUGUAUAUCUGAUUUGUCAAGGUCUGAGAGAGAUGAGUUAAAGUGACUUAUUACAGUUUUAUUUCUGUAUUUAUUCCAGCAUUGUAUUCUGUAAAUUAAUCCUUAAAUUUUUAUAUUUUCACUUUCUUUAUUUCAAUGCUGUUAUUUAUUGUAAUGUUUAUUAGCCUGAAUUCAGCCUGUUAUUAUUACAGAACACUUGCCCACUUUUUGUUUGUAUUUACAUGCGAUAAAUAUGUUGGUUCCCAGAUUAAUUUCAGCCUUUCUGGGUUCUUUGGUUUCAGGUAUAUUUCUUGUUGGUAACAUAUGACUGGCUUUCAUUUUCCUUUGAAGAGUGUGUUUGCGUUCGUUGUGUUGAACAGGUUGAGUCCGCUUCUGUUCUACUUUGUAUUCUCUGCUUUAUGCUGCUGUAGGGUCUGGUUUUUUUGUUGCUUUCUGGUAAUCUGGAAGGAAUUCAGACCAUUUUUAGUUCUACUGGUGGUUACCUUUGUAAUUUUAAAUAAUAGGUUUAACCAACAUUUCUUAAUUCAUCACCUUCAGAAAAGAAAGAAUAUCACUCACUCCCUCCUAAGAAAAAUAAAGAUAUUGAUGAUUUAAACAA